GUGACAUAGCCUGCUAUCUUGUUGCGGAGCUUCUUGCUGGCGAUGAUGGCGAUUUCCUCGCACACGCGCUUGUUGGUGUGGAAAUCGCCAUCAGCCCCAGCA